GGCUGGAGUCCAUUACUGCACUGAACAUAAUGCUCUGUGUCACUUUUGUUUGGCCACAUUUUGGUGACCAUUCCUGACUCAGCCUCCUCCCCUCAAAGUGCCUAGAGCCUGCAUGUAACACUGGACACAUUGUCUUUUCCUGCUGGCUUGCUUAUCGGCCUUCUGACAAGACUUUGAGGUUAGGCAAGGGAAGGAUGGUGUCCUGCUCAUUCUGGGUAUCUAGUGCCAUUAAUGAAGAACAGAGGGCUCUACAGUCAGUGGUUCCUGAAGUGCCCUGGCUACCCCUCACCCCUGCCUCCCAACAGGAGCCUGUGAC
rnacentral:lncRNA from 10 species